UUCCAGGUGCCUCUGCUGCUGCAAUGCUGAUCUUCAUCCUGCCCUCAGCUUUCUAUCUCAAACUGGUUAAGAAGGAGCCAAUGAAAUCAGCUCAGAAAAUUAUGGCUCUGAUGUUCCUGAUAUUAGGAUUUGCUGUCAUGUUUCUCUGCAUGACUCUUAUCAUCUACGACUGGAUCAUGAACUCUAUGAAAGAUCAAGGUCACUGAAGCUCCAGCUCUUCUGCUGGCAGAGAAGAACUGAAGUUUAUUUUCUUUCAAUUUAAUUUAAAGUUAUUUUUUGCUAUACUGUACUAAGAUAUCGAUUAUGUCCUAAAAGGCAGCUUUCAGUUAAAAAACGCCUAUUUAAUAUUUCCCCUAAGCUCAUGUAAAGUCACAGACUUUUAUCAGACUCUUUGUGCUCAAUAUCAUCUGGAUAUAUUUUAAUUACAAUUUUUUAAGACUGUAAAUAAACAAUUACUGCAACUUUAAAUCUAAUUGUUUUUUAUAAAGCACUGCAGUGCCAGCUGCAGAAAAGCUGGCCCGACUAGAUUUUCUAGAUUUAUGCCAUAGUCAUCUUUUUUCUUUUAUAAAACAGUUACCAUUUUUGUAAAUAAAGUGACGUACUACCUUUGGAACCUCUA